rnacentral:rRNA from 1 species
ACUUUUACACGGAGCUUGCUCUGGUGGCGAGUGGCGAACGGGUGAGUAAUAUAUCGGAACGUACCCUGGAGUGGGGGAUAACGUAGCGAAAGUUACGCUAAUACCGCAUACGAUCUACGGAUGAAAGUGGGGGAUCGCAAGACCUCAUGCUCGUGGAGCGGCCGAUAUCUGAUUAGCUAGUUGGUAGGGUAAAAGCCUACCAAGGCAUCGAUCAGUAGCUGGUCUGAGAGGACGACCAGCCACACUGGAACUGAGACACGGUCCAGACUCCUACGGGAGGCAGCAGUGGGGAAUUUUGGACAAUGGGCGAAAGCCUGAUCCAGCAAUGCCGCGUGAGUGAAGAAGGCCUUCGGGUUGUAAAGCUCUUUUGUCAGGGAAGAAACGGUGAGGGCUAAUAUCCCUUGCUAAUGACGGUACCUGAAGAAUAAGCACCGGCUAACUACGUGCCAGCAGCCGCGGUAAUACGUAGGGUGCAAGCGUUAAUCGGAA